UAAAAUAUUAUAUAGAACCUAAAAUAAGGGUACCUUUUGUAUAAGCGUUAUAUUAGAAUAAAUUAAUGGAUUUUAUAGGCCCGAUAGGAAGAAAUUUAACUAUGUGAGUUUAUUCAUUGUUGCAAAACUGAAGAGAACGCAUUGUUAAAGGCUAUAUACUAUACUGCUCUUUCUGAUAUCUGGUUUUUCUAAAAAUAUGUUUAGCGUAGUCCCUUAUAGAAGGGAAUGAGAAGCUGUAAGAUUAGUUAUGGUUUUGAAAGUAUUGAGGUGAGACAGUUAGGUUAAUCUGAAUGGGUUUAAUAUUAAUCAUUUAUUAAAUUGUUAUAAAUAAAAUUAUUUAGUAGGUAAAUUUAUAGAAAUUUCAUUAUGGUAUAGAAAAAUGGUCUUUUGACCACAGAUUAUGUAAAAAUCAGUAGAGAAAAUUAUAUAUUUUUCAUAUAAAUUCGUGGUUAUGUGAGUUUGUUUUAUAUUUCUUAAUAACUCUCUUUAAUGAUCUCGGCAAGUUGGGCCUUCGAAUGUUUAACAAAAACAUUUCUUCUCGUAAAUUGUAGGAAGUAUCCCCUGCCCGGUGCUAUACGUAGUUAACGGCUGCAUUAACGUGAGUGUACUAAGGUAGCGUAGUGGCUUGCCCCUUAAUUGGUGGCUUGUAUGAAUGGGGGUUUUGGGGGCCCUCUGUGUCGAAGAGAUACCUUUAAAUUUACUUGUGUGUGAAGAGGCAGACAUAAAAAAAAAGGACGACAAGACCCUAGAAGCUAGCCUUUAGUCUAAUUAGGUGAUUAAUUUAGGGCUGUUCUUAAGUUUUUUUAACAAUUAGGUGAUGGUUUGUUGGGGCAACAGAGUGUGUUUUAUUGCUGGUUUAUCAUUAUUUUACUGUCGUGUCUUAUCCAAAUUGUGAAAAUGAGUAGUUACUCUAGGGAUAACAGCGUUAUUUUUCUUUAUAGUCCGUAUAGAAAGAAAAGAUUGCGACCUCGAUGUUGGAUUAAGGUGUCCUGAAGGUGUAGAAGCCUUCUAGGGUUGGUCUGUUCGCCCAUAAAAACCCUUACAUGAUCUGAGUUCAGACCGGCGGGAGCUAGGUCAGUUUCUAUCCUUUUUAAAAUUACAGUUGUUUUAGUACGAGAGGAGUUCUUAACUGGUCUAUUAUAGACAAAAAUU
rnacentral:rRNA from 1 species